CUAUACUCAGGAUACCGCACAGUGUGACUUUCUGUUGAUUUCCUGUCAACUGCAAGAUGUAGGACACUUGGCUAUUGAGGUCCUUUGGGGUCCAGCCCCAAGGCCCUGGGGUUCAGACAGCAAGUGAAAGGGGCUUUGUCCUUAGGGUAUCUGAGAGUAAAUGAGUGAAUUCUCUCACACACGUUCUGUUCCAAACAAGUCUCUGUGCUACUUCUACUUCCUCCUAGCUUCUCCUCUAGCCUAAAAAUUCUCCUUUUCAUCGGAGCCUUGAAGCGACAUAAAAUUACUAGAGCUACCUCUCAUUGGAUGAAAGCACAUUUCUAGGGAAAGUGCCUCCGACACUAGACUAUUUCUCCAGCACCGUAUCUGUCUGUGCACCACCGUGUUCCCCACCAUGAUGGACUGAACCUCUGAACUGUAGGCGGGCCACCACAAUUAAACGUUCUCCUUUAUAAGAGUUGCCAUGGUCACGGUGUCUCUUCACAGCAAUAAAAACCCUACCUAAGACACCA